CAGUCGCCGCGGUAAUACGAAGGGUGCAAGCGUUAAUCGGAAUUACUGGGCGUAAAGCGUGCGUAGGCGGUGAGUUAAGUCUGCUGUGAAAUCCCCGGGCUCAACCUGGGAAUGGCAGUGGAUACUGGCUCGCUAGAGUGUGUCAGAGGAUGGUGGAAUUCCCGGUGUAGCGGUGAAAUGCGUAGAGAUCGGGAGGAACAUCAGUGGCGAAGGCGGCCAUCUGGGACAACACUGACGCUGAGGCACGAAAGCGUGGGGAGCAAACAGGAUUAGAUACCCCAGUAGUCCCUGUCUCUUAACA
rnacentral:rRNA from 1 species